rnacentral:lncRNA from 10 species
CGCUUUGGAGGAAGCCAGCUGCCAUGUUUUGAGGACACUAAGGCACUUUACGGAGAGGCCCACGUGAGAUGAAGAAGUUUCUCUUUUCUGUGCAUGAAGAAGACAAUGGGAUAUGGAUGACACUAAACCUUUGAAAGUUCCUGCUAACCUCCAGGUGGAAGGAAAGGGCCCACGGUGAUCAAUAAAUGUGUUUGCUAUUUUUUG